rnacentral:lncRNA from 1 species
GUGGAUCCUACUUGAGUGCUUUCAGUUCGAGAAUACUUGCUAGUGUAUCUUAGAAGUACACUAUUGAACGAUCGUUUUUACCCCUCCAUUACUAUAUCCCCAUGGAAAUUAUCCUUCACCUAGGUCUCCUAUUUGUCACAAGGUUUCUCCUCAUUUAUUAUCACAUCAAUUUUUCUCAAAAUGGUGGACAACAAGGUACCCACAAUCAAUAAAGGUAUUAUAAUCUAGGAUCUUGAGGCUUCAAUCACAAUUGACGUCCAUCAUCAUUAAGCCUCAAUGGAGAUAAAAUCCAAUGUCAGAUCUGUGAUAAGUUGGUCACUCGACCAAUAUAUGCAAAUCAAGGAUGAUAUCCUUAAGCCCAUCUCUUUAUUUGAACUCCAUCAACAUAAAUAAAAGUUGGCUCAUGGAUUUUCAAGCUUUCAUAUAUGAGUAUAAUUGUAGUGAUGAUAUUCUUACCAAUAAGGGUAACAUUACUAAUCAUAUAUAUAGGUUCUAUCAUGUUUAAUACUCCUAAUAGUUCAUUUGCACUUAAUAAUAUUUUAUCUGUACCUCAC